UACGUAGGGGGCUAGCGUUGUCCGGAAUCAUUGGGCGUAAAGAGCGUGUAGGCGGCCCGGUAAGUCCGCUGUGAAAGUCGGGGGCUCAACCCUCGAAUGCCGGUGGAUACUGUCGGGCUAGAGUGCGGAAGAGGCGGAGUGGAAUUCCUGGUGUAGCGGUGAAAUGCGCAGAUAUCAGGAGGAACACCGAUUGCGAAGGCAGCUCGCUGGGACGUAACUGACGCUGGAGACGCGAAAGCGUGGGGAGCAAACAGG
rnacentral:rRNA from 1 species